GACGAACGCUGGCGGCGUGCCUAAUACAUGCAAGUCGAGCGAGACUCUUCGGAGUCUAGCGGCGGACGGGUGAGUAACACGCGGGCAACCUGCCUGUAAGACUGGGAUAACACCGGGAAACCGGUGCUAAUACCGGAUAAUCCUUUUCCUCUCAUGAGGAAAAGCUGAAAGUCGGUUUCGGCUGACACUUACAGAUGGGCCCGCGGCGCAUUAGCUAGGUGGUGAGGUAACGGCUCACCAAGGCGACGAUGCGUAGCCGACAUGAGAGGGUGAUCGGCCACACUGGGACUGAGACACGGCCCAGACUCCUACGGGAGGCAGCAGUAGGGAAUCUUCCACAAUGGACGAAAGUCUGAUGGAGCAACCCCGCGUGAGCGAUGAAGGCCUACGGGUCGUAAAGCUCUGUUGUUAGGGAAGAACAAGUACCGGAGUAACUGCCGGUACCUUGACGGUACCUAACCAGAAAGCCACGGCUAACUACGUGCCAGCCGCCGCAGUAAUAC
rnacentral:rRNA from 1 species